GCUACAAGUCGUUCUAUCGCUUGCUUUAACAAGCAAGAGGAAAGUCCGGGCAACACAGAGCAACCACACCACCUAACAGGUGGGGCUUACAGGGUAACUUGUAAGUACAGAUAGUGUCGCAGAGAAUUACCAUUCUGUUUUUUUAAGGCAGGUAUUGGGUGAAAACGCAAGUUAAAAAAUCUGCGUUCAGAUAGGGAAACCUUUCUUGAAGGACAAACCUUGUGGGUUGAAAGGCCAAAUAUACCGGCACGUUGUUUUACUUUAGGGUAACAACUAAAAGCUGCUCGUUUGAUGCCGGGGGGUAGGUCGUUAGAGCCUGAUAGCAAUAUCAGGAGUAGAUAAAUGAUAGAACAUGGUUGAUUUAACCUCAACCAUGACAAAACCCGGCUUACAGACUUGUAGUUUUU
rnacentral:RNase_P_RNA from 1 species